rnacentral:rRNA from 13 species
CUUUAUUCGAUGAAUACCGGUUAAUCUUGUGCCAGCAGCAGCGGUAAUGCAAGUGGUGUAAACGUUCUAUAGGUUGAUUAGGUGUAAAGUGUGAUUUGGACAUGAGUUUUAUAUGUGUAGUGAAAAUUUAUUAUCAGUGUCACGGACUCGUCAUUAGAGGAAUUCUAGAUUUGAUGUGGUGUAGGAAUGUUAGUUGUAAUAGUGAAAUCUGUAUAUAAUUAGUAGAAAAUUGAUUUGAUAUUGGUACCUAAUCUUUGGUAGAUAUUCUAUUCACGAAAGCUUGAGGUGUGACAGGGAUUAGAUACCCCAUUAAUUCAAGUGAAAAAUUAUGGCU